rnacentral:rRNA from 1 species
UACGGAAGGUGCAAGCGUUACUCGGAAUUACUGGGCGUAAAGCGUGCGUAGGUGGUUCGUUAAGUCUGAUGUGAAAGCCCUGGGCUCAACCUGGGAAUGGCAUUGGAAACUGGCGACCUAGAGUGCGGUAGAGGGCAGUGGAAUUCCCGGUGUAGCAGUGAAAUGCGUAGAGAUCGGGAGGAACAUCUGUGGCGAAGGCGACUGCCUGGACCAGCACUGACACUGAGGCACGAAAGCGUGGGUAGCGAACAGG